GACGAACGCUGGCGGCGUGCUUAACACAUGCAAGUCGAACGGAAAGGCCCUGCUUUUGUGGGGUUCUCGAGUGGCGAACGGGUGAGUAACACGUGAGUAACCUGCCCUUGACUUUGGGAUAACUUCAGGAAACUGGGGCUAAUACCGGAUAGGAGCUCCUGCUGCAUGGUGGUGGUUGGAAAGUUUCGGCGGUUGGGGAUGGACUCGCGGCUUAUCAGCUUGUUUGUGGGGUAGUGGCUUACCAAGGCUUUGACGGGUAGCCGGCCUGAGAGGGUGACCGGCCACAUUGGGCCUGAGAUACGGCCCAGACUCCUACGGGAGGCAGCAGUGGGGAAUAUUGCACAAUGGGCGGAAGCCUGAUGCAGCAACGCCGCGUGCGGGAUGACGGCCUUCGGGUUGUAAACCGCUUUCGCCUGUGACGAAGCGUGAGUGACGGUAAUGGGUAAAGAAGCACCGGCUAACUACGUG
rnacentral:rRNA from 1 species